CAGUCGCCGCGGUAAUACGUAGGGUGCAAGCGUUAAUCGGAAUUACUGGGCGUAAAGCGUGCGCAGGCGGUUCGUUAAGACAGAUGUGAAAUCCCCGGGCUUAACCUGGGAACUGCAUUUGUGACUGGCGGGCUAGAGUAUGGCAGAGGGGGGUAGAAUUCCACGUGUAGCAGUGAAAUGCGUAGAGAUGUGGAGGAACACCAGUGGCGAAGGCGGCUCACUGGUCCAUUACUGACGCUGAGGUGCGAAAGCGUGGGGAGCAAACAGGAUUAGAGACCCCGGUAGUCCCUGUCUCUUAUAC
rnacentral:rRNA from 1 species